ensembl:lncRNA
GUAAUUUCCUCAUAGCCAAAUUCAGGAAGACAUGAUAUUUUCUUUCAUUGUAUUUGCCAAAUACUUGUCUUUCCCACUCCCUGUGCUCAAGUCUGAAACAUAUUCCCCCUUUAUGCCUUUGUAUGGAGCUACUGAAUAAUAUAACUGUGAUUUUCACCUAAGUAACAAAAUUCCUGACUCAUGUUCCUCAUCUGCAAAAUAGAUUAAUUAUUGUUUCUCUUCCAAGGUUAGUGAGAUAGAGUUACAAAAUUAAUUUUUAAUUCAACACAUAUUUAGUAAGUUAUUUAGUAUUUCCAGCACAAUUGAAAAGAUUUUAGCGUGUCAGUCAACAACUGCUUUGGAGAAAAAUACUAGGGGUUAAGAGGAAGGUGAAGGUGUAUCAUUUUAAAAAGCUGUUCAGGUAGAAACUUUUAAGAAAGUGAAACUGGACAAGGUAUUUGAAAAAAGUCAGAUAAAGAACUACGUGAGAAUCUGAAGGAGGAGGAUUUCUGCAAGAGGGAAUGAAGAGAAAGUCCCUGAAAUAGGAAUGAACACAGAUUUGCCUGUGUGGGCUGGUCAAUGAACAGCUGGCUGGGAGAAGGAGUUGAAGACACAGGCAGGGGCAAAUGAGGUCCCUAAACAACCAGUCAAAACAGACAAGAGACACCAGUACAACAAUGAUGGAUGACACAAACCUCACCUUUGAUGCUGCUCAUGAUGGAUUGCUGAGUCUGUUGAAACUUAUGCUUCGGGAGACCUAACAGAGCACAGAUCAUGAUGAUCAGCUCUUGAUAUAUGGUAAAUUAACCAUCCAAGGCCAAAUAUCCAUUUUCUCCUAGAGUCUGGAAGUACUCCAGCUGUUAUUUUUCAGCGGUGUAUAGUUUUCUAUUGAAGUCAUCAUGCUCCAAAAAUCAAAGGCUCAAAAUAUUACCAUUAUCUCUUAGAGAUUGCCAGAAAUUUCAUGUGGCUUCUGUUUCAGUGUUAAUGCAUCUAAAACCAGCUUCUUUAUUCCUCAUUUUAGAGGUUACUCCCUGGAGUGCUCAAGUGCAACAGGCCUCAACAAGUUUUAAAGUAAUAGAAUAGCACCACAAAUGAAACCAUUAUUUUUUUAUGUAAUUAGUCCACACAAAAAGUUGAAAUAACUUCUAUAUUAAAGUGAAUAUAAUAUAACCUAACUCUAAUAGUAUUCAUCUGCAAUUCUUUCUCAGGAAGAUUACACCCUGAGACUUCACUGAUACUGCAAGAGUGGAAGUAGGUAGGUCAUUCAGAUGACUGACAGUGGUGGAAGUUAAUAAUUUUGGGGGUCAUAUUCAGUUCAGGACCACAAUAAUAUUUCGGUGCUAAUAUAUUUUAUCACAUUAAUUGCUUAUAACUUAAAAAAUGCUAACAUGUAAAUUUAAGAUGGAAUCAACCUUUCUCCUUUCAAUCCACAUAAUCUCAAACCUAAACUCUGUCUGUCUGGCCAAUGUAGAAAUAGAAUUCCAGAAGCUAGGUCCUUAACUUUGGUGUGCCUCCUAUCUUCUCAAAAUAGAGCACUACCAAUCUUUAAUUACAUCUCAAGUCAAUUUAUUUAGCAUAAUACUAUUUUGCUGUUAAGUUCAUGUGACAUAAAAGAAAUAUUUACAGAAAAAAGACAGGUGUUGAAAGCUUAAUUAUAUUAUUUUAAAAAUAUAUUAUAAUUCCAAAGUACAGUUUAAAGCACAAAAUUUCUCAUUUACAUUAGCUCUGGUCUACAGAUUUGACCCUGUGAAGUCACUUAGUUCAAGAAAAAGAAGAAUUUUUUUCCCUUCAAUGAAUCAGUAUAUUGACAAUAAGUUGGUAAUGACACCAUGCGCUCUUAAACUGUUUUUACUUAAUUUUCCAGACCUACAAAUGGCUUUCAAAAUGUACUGUAGAGGGCAGGUAAAAGUACAGUGAUCAGGACUAAAUUCAACUCCAGCUCAACCCCAGCUUGUGUAAACAAAGCGCCUCUGCUUUUGUCUGCUUCACAUUGUAAAGUUCUGAAAAAAGUACUUUAAAAGAUGACCCUAGCAGACAAAGAGGGAGAUUGCACACUAUUGUCCUAAGCCUAUUGCACUGUACUUACAGCUGACUUGAUCUGUACUGAAAUUAUAAAUUUCUACAGAUUUAUAAAUGUUAAAACUUGUGUCAAGAUUAUGAGGGUUAGGAUCAAUAUUGCUAUGAUCUUUUUGGUUACACUGAUGAAGCAUUUUUGGUGAAGAAAUAAAGGAGCAAUCAAAAGGAACAGGUUUAUGUGCAGAAAAGGCUAUUUUAAAUUUUAUUGUGAGAACUAACUGCUGUUAUUCCAUUUGAAAAUUUAGACAGUCAGAAUUCCAAUUUUUCCCAAUCUUUAAGUUCAGUAUGUUGAUUUAAAUACUGUAUUUGUGAUUGUGCAUAUUUCAAUGUCUUUUAAAUGAAUAAUGUUUAGUCUCAUUUACAGGCAUACAUUUUCACACAUUUACAACGCUAUUUAUAAAUUUAUAUACUGUUUUUCUUACUAAAUAAUUCUACUAAAUAUACCAAAUGUUUCCAAAUAGUAAAAUGACUUUGGUAAUAUAAAAAUUAAACAUACAAAAAUAGUGAGAUUUAGGUUUUUUUCACUUCUUGGGAUUGAACCCAGGUUCUUCACACUGAGCUACUUUUUAUUUUGAGACAGCCCAGCCCUUUUUAUUUUGAGACGGGAUCUUGCAACUUUGCUGAGAUGGGACUUGACCUUGUAGCCCUUUUGCCUCAGCCUCCCAAGUGCUAGUAUUAAGGCAUGUACCACUCUAGCAGAUGAGAUUCACGUUUUUCAAAAAGUUCUAGUUUGGUAAAAAAUAAAGUAUACUCCCCAAUUAAUAUUCUUUACAUAAAUUGUUUAAUUACACAUUUGAAAUUGGCAUUGUAUGGCUUUAGAGUGAAAGCUAAAAUUCUUUUUAAUAUCAAAGAAAAUAAAAUGUCAAUCAUAUACAAAUUCUUUUCUAAUAAAAUAUUUGUACUAUGUUUUUCAUUUCUUGUCAGAUUCUGUGAUAUGUUCUUCUGGUAGACUGUAUUUCCCAAUAAUGGUCACACUAUAUUCCCUAUCACCCAGG